GCCUAUAUAACGACGGAUUUAGCGACGGACAAUUUCUGUAGCUAAAUUAGCUACGGAAUAGAGACAACUUAGCGACAGAUUUUAAUUUUGUUGUUAGAUUUACAUUUAGCAACGGAUUAGUGAGGAAUUUGCGAUGGAUAUUGCGACAAAAUAUUUCCGUCGUUAAAUACGUAGCUAAUUUUAGAGCAAGAAAAUAGCGACGGAUUCGUGACGGAAUUUUCGCGGGUGAGCUCCAAAAUUUUUAAUAAUCUUAAUUGCUACAGUUUAGCGACGGAUUUGUGAAUCCAUCACUAUAUUUAGCGAUGGAUUAUUAAAUCCGUCGCUAAACAUACAAGGUGAUAAUUUUGUUUUCUAUGUUAGCGACGGAUUAUGAAAUCCGUCGCUAAAUAUAGCUAGGGAAUCUCAUAUUCGUCGCUAAAUAUACCAGGCGAGAAUUUUGUGUUUAUACUUUAGCGACGGAUCAUUUAAUCUGUUGCUAUCGUAUAUAAAGCUAGAAUUAUUUUAUAUUUUAGCGACGGAUCUGAUCCCUCGCUAUUUUUUUUUAAUAAUAAUAACAUUGGGAUUUACCAUUGAAAACCUAAUAUCAAAGGACAUAGCCACAGUGACACACCUCGUCCGCCUCUCCUACGACUCUGCGACCACCUGCGCCUCCCCUGCGAUUCUGCGAGAGAGGGGAUUUCAGCGCCGCACAAGUACUAGCACUGGGGCUCCUCGGUUUUCUCGAUUCCCACCCUCAUUCCGAAAACGACCGGUCUUUCGUUUGCCCUAUUCGAUGCGAAGCCUUAUCGAACCUCGACUUCACUCGCCGCUCCUUAAUUCCUGAGACUGAUCGGGUAUGGAACUGUUUUCUCGUAUUGGUAAGCACUUUGAUGUGAAAGUUUUCAUAAAAUGCAGAUUUGGCAUGAUGCCUUGUGCAGUUCUUGCUGUGACUUACUGCAUAAAACAGUGUAAUGAUUAAAUGACUAAAAUGUGUCAUUGCUACCGUUAACCUUGGGUUAUGGGAUACUGCAGGUAACCAUUUCAAAUCCCAUUGUAUUCUAUUGCUAUUAAGACUUGGUGAGAAUGAUUUUGAAGUGGUAGAGGGAUGGUAGGCUUGAUAGUUUCUUCCUCACUUACAGGAGCCGAGGCCAUUAUCACAAAGGGAUUUGGACAGAGUUAUAUCAACAUCAAAAAACACAUAAGUAGUUGCAAGUGAAUAUAACAGAUUCAGUUCACAAACAUCUAGAUAGUCACGGCAGAGGGACCGAGACAAUUAUCAGGUUCAAGCUGCAAUCAGCGAGCUCUCAAAGCUCGUCCUUUCACAAAUUACAAACCUGCAGAGUCUGAUUCAAACGACUGUUAAACUCCACCACUAAUUAAUAUUUUCUGAUGUAUUGGAAUAAUUUUUAGGAAUAUUUGGACAUGCAUAAAUUGUGUCCCUUCUUGAGUUUGAUAGUUUUGAAAAACUAUUUCCAAAUUGUUUUGGUUUAUUACUUGUAUUAAUGGAAUAUUUUCGAG